GCGGUCGUGGCGGAAUUGGUAGACGCGCGAGUUUUAGGUACUCGUAUCUUCGGGUGUGGGAGUUCAAGUCUCCCCGACCGCA
rfam:Prochlorococcus marinus MED4 complete genome.